rnacentral:rRNA from 1 species
GAUGAACGCUGGCGGCGUGCCUAAUACAUGCAAGUCGAGCGAACAGAUGAGGAGCUUGCUCCUCUGACGUUAGCGGCGGACGGGUGAGUAACACGUGGAUAACCUACCUAUAAGACUGGGAUAACUUCGGGAAACCGGAGCUAAUACCGGAUAAUAUAUUGAACCGCAUGGUUCAAUAGUGAAAGACGGUUUUGCUGUCACUUAUAGAUGGAUCCGCGCCGCAUUAGCUAGUUGGUAAGGUAACGGCUUACCAAGGCGACGAUGCGUAGCCGACCUGAGAGGAUGAGCCGCCACACGGGAACUGAGACACGGUCCAGACUCCUACGGGAGGCAGCAGUGGGGAAUAUUCGACAAUGGGCGAAAGCCUGACGGAGCAACGCCGCGUGUGUGAAGAAGGUCUUCGGAUCGUAAAGCUCUUUAAGUGGGGAAGAAAAAAUGUAAGUUAAUACCUGCAUGUUUUGACGGUACCUAAAGAAAAAGCACCGGCUAACUACGUG